CCUUUUUUUACUAUAAAACUACCAGGCUUAGGAGCUACUCAAAUAAGGCACAGCUUAUUUGACAAAGGAGACAACCUACAAAAAAGGGUAAAUACCCAAAAAUAAAACAAGUGGGCCCGAAAGCAGCCACCUUUCAGAAAGCGUUAAAGCUCUGUUUGUACUAAAGACUAAUACCCCAACCUCACAUUAAACCCUUUAUUCCUACUGAAUGAUUCUAUAAAGUAUAGAAACCCCAAUGCUAAAACUAGUAACAAGAAAUUGAAUUUCUCCAAAUACAAGCAUAAAUCAAAAUGGACAAGCCAUUGAUAAUUAACAUAACUGAGCCAAAUAUAGUAACUAAACAAGAAAAAACUAUUAAUCCUUUUGUUAACCUCACACAAGUGUAUUUCUGGAAAGAUUAAAAGAAAGGGAAGGAACUCGGCAAAUCUUAACCCCGCCUGUUUACCAAAAACAUCGCCUCUUGCUUUUCAUAAGAGGUCCAGCCUGCCCAGUGACACAAUUAAACGGCCGCGGUACCCUGACCGUGCGAAGGUAGCAUAAUCACUUGUUCUCUAAAUAAGGACUUGUAUCAACGGCAUCACGAGGGUUAUACUGUCUCCCCUUUUUAAUCAGUGAAACUGACCUUCCCGUGAAGAGGCGGGAAUAAAAAUACAAGACGAGAAGACCCCAUGGAGCUUUAAACCCAAUAGCAACCUCUAUUUUCUAUGACCGUGUAAUCAAGAAGGCCUGCUUAUUGGUUUUAGGUUGGGGUGACCCUGGAGUAAAACAUAGCCUCCAUGACGAAUAGAUUUUAUCCUAAUCCCAGAGCCACUGCUCUAAGAAUCAAAAAUUUGACGUAAACUGAUCCGCUUAGCGAUCAACGAACCAAGUUACCCUGGGGAUAACAGCGCAAUCCAUUUCAAGAGCCCCUAUCGACAAAUGGGUUUACGACCUCGAUGUUGGAUCAGGGUAUCCCAGUGGUGCAGCCGCU
rnacentral:rRNA from 1 species